rnacentral:rRNA from 1 species
UACAGGGGGUGCAAACGUUGCUCGGAAUCAUUGGGCGUAAAGCGCACGUAGGCGGUCUGUUAUGUCGGAUGUGAAAGCCCUUGGCUCAACUGAGGAAGUGCAUCCGAAACUGGCAGGCUAGAGUACUAAAGAGGAUCGCGGAAUUCCCGGUGUAGAGGUGAAAUUCGUAGAUAUCGAGGAGGAACGACCGGUAGGCGGAAGGCGGGUCGUCUGGGCCGAUACUG